ensembl:ncRNA C07A12.17 ncRNA
AGUACCUUACUGUAUUUGAGCACACCCGAUUCUCGGGAUGGAAAAGACAGUAAGGAGGAAGUUGGAGUACAAUGGAAUGCAUUAUACCUGCACCUCCUUCAUUGGUUCCUGGAUGCCGAGAGCAACAACAAAGUGGCCGACACCCGGCAAAAGGGGGGUCAUUGGCAUAGGUGUCUCAUUUUUCUUGUACUACCACAACCCGCCUAUUCAAUUUGG